rnacentral:rRNA from 1 species
UACGAAGGGGGCUAGCGUUGCUCGGAAUUACUGGGCGUAAAGGGAGCGUAGGCGGACAUUUAAGUCAGGGGUGAAAUCCCAGAGCUCAACUCUGGAACUGCCUUUGAUACUGUCGGUCUAGAGUAUGGAAGAGGUGAGUGGAAUUCCGAGUGUAGAGGUGAAAUUCGUAGAUAUUCGGAGGAACACCAGUGGCUAAGGCGGCUCACUGGUCCAUUACUGACGCUGAGGUGCGAAAGCGUGGGGAGCAAACAGG